rnacentral:misc_RNA from 1 species
CCGAGUUAGGGUCUUAUAGGCCCAACCUCCAACCCUUUGUUUACUAUACCAUGUUGCUUUGGUGGGGCCGCCGGGGGCUUUCACGCCCCUGGUCAGUGCCCGCCAGUAGCCUUACUAAAUUCUUUUAUAAUUAUGUUGUCUGAGUCUAAAUAUAAAUCGUUA